rnacentral:rRNA from 1 species
GACAGAGGGUGCAAACGUUGUUCGGAUUUACUGGGCGUAAAGCGUGUGUAGGCGGCUUUGCAAGUCGGAUGUGAAAUCCCACGGCUCAACCGUGGAAGUGCGCGGAAAACUGGCGAGCUUGAGUGCCGGAGAGGGUCGCGGAAUUCCCGGUGUAGAGGUGAAAUUCGUAGAUAUCGGGAGGAACACCAGUGGCGAAGGCGGCGACCUGGACGGACACUGACGCUGAGACGCGAAAGCGUGGGGAGCAAACAGG